CGCCGGCUGGGACGGUUCCCGAUCCGGUUCCGCCGACGGGCCGACCCUCGUGGUGCGGCAUCCACGGGCGCUGC
rnacentral:tRNA from 1 species